GGCGGACGGGUGAGUAACGCGUGGGAAUCUACCCAGUAGUGGGGGACAACUACCGGAAACGGUAGCUAAUACCGCAUACGCCCUAUGGGGGAAAGGCUUCGGCCGCUAUUGGAUGAGCCCGCGUCAGAUUAGCUAGUUGGUAGGGUAAAGGCCUACCAAGGCAACGAUCUGUAGCUGGUCUGAGAGGACGAACAGCCACACUGGGACUGAGACACGGCCCAGACUCCUACGGGAGGCAGCAGUGGGGAAUAUUGGACAAUGGGCGAAAGCCUGAUCCAGCAAUGCCGCGUGUGUGAAGAAGGCCUGCGGGUUGUAAAGCACUUUCAGUUGGGAAGAUGAUGACGUUACCAACAGAAGAAGCACCGGCUAAAUCCGUGCCAGCAGCCGCGGUAAUACGGAUGGUGCGAGCGUUAAUCGGAAUUACUGGGCGUAAGGCGCGC
rnacentral:rRNA from 1 species